CAGGUGCUCUUCCCCUUGUUUUGUCCCUUAGAGGACAGGGCUGGCAAUGCUCCCUCUGGAUAUUGAAGGCCAAGCUUGAGUGAAAUUGUGGACACAUUCCUGAAGUGUCGGGCACAUCGAAAUCAAGCACAGUCUAUUUAACAGAGGAAGCCCAUUUCAUUCCUCUGCAAUCUCUCACCUUCAUUCUAAUGUUCUCUUUUUUUUCAGUUUAUGGAGAAGUGGCAGAUAGCUCAGAAGACUCUUCUGAGAUUGAUGUUGUCACUGUCAGUGACGAUGAGUCUGCUCUGCAGAUCCAGCAGCAGCCACAUCUUUUCAGGGCCCCAGAGAACUCAGCUGAGCCACUGCCAAGGAAUGAUGGAGUGGCGCCAAGAGAAGAUGAUGGUGCACGGACAGCAAUUCUCAUCAUUCCGCUAAUUCCUGAGGCUGACAACGCAGAGGGCAGCAGCUGUUUGUGCUCCUGCUGUGAAUGUUCUUAUCCAAACUUGGAGGGUGAUAGCCUACCCUUCCUCACUCCUCUGCUAGAACUGCUUUCUGAGCUGAGGUUUGCAUGCAGCACAGGGGGCUCACCAAAUCUAAUUGUAUCUUCUUUUCUUUCCCUUCUCGUGUACAUCAAUGGAAGCUUCUUCAAGUGCAUGGACAAGAAUGGAGAAAUGUGGCAGUGA
rnacentral:lncRNA from 1 species